rnacentral:rRNA from 1 species
GACGAAGGUGGCAAGCGUUGUUCGGAAUCACUGGGCUUAAAGAGCACGUAGGCGGCUCAUCAAGCGUCUUGUGAAAUCCCUCGGCUCAACCGAGGAAUUGCUGGGCGAACUGAUCGAGCUUGAGGCAGGUAGGGGCGCGUGGAACUCUUGGUGGAGCGGUGGAAUGCGUAGAUAUCAAGAGGAACGCCAGAGGCGAAAGCGAUGCGCUGGGCCUGUCCUGACGCUGAGGUGCGAAAGCCAGGGGA